rnacentral:rRNA from 1 species
AACGCGUCUUGGUUAUUGAUGUUAAGUGCUUGCAUUUAACUGAUUUCCCAUUGAGACGAGUGGCGAACUGGUGAGUAACACGUGGGUACCCUGCCCUUGAAGUAGGGGAUAACACUUGGAAACAGGUGCUAAUACCGUAUAACAACCAAAACCACCUGGUUUUGGUUUAAAAGAUGGCUUCGGCUAUCACUUUAGGAUGGACCCGCGGCGUAUUAGCUUGUUGGUAAGGUAACGGCCUACCAAGGCAAUGAUACGUAGCCGACCUGAGAGGGUAAUCGGCCACAUUGGGACUGAGACACGGCCCAAACUCCUACGGGAGGCAGCAGUAGGGAAUCUUCCACAAUGGACGAAAGUCUGAUGGAGCAACGCCGCGUGAGUGAUGAAGGGUUUCGGCUCGUAAAACUCUGUUGUUGGAGAAGAACAGGUGUGAGAGUAACUGUUCACAUCUUGACGGUAUCCAACCAGAAAGCCGCGGCUAACUACGUGCCAGCAGCCGCGGUAAUACGUAGGUGGCAAGCGUUGUCCGGAUUUAUUGGGCGUAAAGCGAGCGCAGGCGGUUUCUUAGGUCUGAUGUGAAAGCCUUCGGCUUAACCGGAGAAGUGCAUCGGAAACCAGGAGACUUGAGUGCAGAAGAGGACAGUGGAACUCCAUGUGUAGCGGUGAAAUGCGUAGAUAUAUGGAAGAACACCAGUGGCGAAGGCGGCUGUCUGGUCUGUAACUGACGCUGAGGCUCGAAAGCAUGGGUAGCGAACAGGAUUAGAUACCCUGGUAGUCCAUGCCGUAAACGAUGAGUGCUAAGUGUUGGAGGGUUUCCGCC